CUAAGAAUCUUGCGCAAUGGGCGAAAGCCUGACGCAGCAAUUCCGCGUGGGGGACGAAGGCCCUCGGGUCGUAAACCCCUUUUACGAGGGAAGAAGUUCUGACGGUACCUCGUGAAUAAGCCACGGCUAACUACGUGCCAGCAGCCGCGGUAAUACGUAGGUGGCGAGCGUUGUCCGGAUUUAUUGGGCGUAAAGAGCCCGCAGGCGGCUUGGUAAGUUUCAGGUGAAAUCUCCCGGCUUAACUGGGAGGGUGCCUGGAAAACUAUCAGGCUUGAGGCAGGGAGAGGGAUGUGGAAUUCCCGGUGUAGUGGUGAAAUGCGUAGAUAUCGGGAGGAACACCAGUGGCGAAGGCGGCAUCCUGGCCCUGUCCUGACGCUCAGGGGCGAAAGCGUGGGGAGCAAACC
rnacentral:rRNA from 1 species